GCCAAAUGCCUCUGUAUUCCUCCCUUAACGCACCGCUGCGGUGAAUCUGUUUAUUAGAAAAGAAGACGAAGAAAAAAAACGACCCAGAUUGUGAUCAGCAGUAGUCCAACGCUUCUACAUACCCUGAUUCAGGAAGAUGGCCUGAGCUGCUAACUAUUGCCCUGAAGGGACAACAGGUACCUGUAACCCAAGACGGCAGCAGGUGUUGGAUGCUGAGCCUGCUUAAAAAGGCCAAAAGUCCCCAUUUCCCCACAGUUAAGACUGACUGAGAGUGGAGCAGUAUAAUUCUAGCUUCAGGCACCACUCCUGGGUGGUUGCCUCCAAAAGCUUAGCUUCAAGAUGCACUACUGGUCUUCCAUCCAAGUGGGAUGCAUUUCCCAGCUAGGCUCAGUUCCCCUCGUAAUUCUGCCUUAUUUUCAUGGAGAGCGCAGCUUCAAUAUGCUGAGAGACGGCUGGUGAAGUUUCAUGUUUUCUUUGGCUAUAAAUCAUGUUUAGCUCAUUUUAACACCCAUAACGGCUUAUUACUGACUUUAAAAUAAUAAUAAUUAAAAACACGAUGUGUCCAGAGAAUCCAAAGCAUCUUUCAUAUUGUAUAACUUCUGAAGACCUUGAAAUAAAUUGGGUUUUGAAAAUUUA